rnacentral:rRNA from 1 species
AGCGAACGUUUGCGGCGGGCCUAACACAUGCAAGUCGAACGGGCUAGCAAUAGUCAGUGGCGCACGGGUGCGUAACACGUGGGUAAUCAACCCUUCAGCUCGGGAUAACGCCUUGAAAGGGGCGCUAAUACCGGAUGCGACGCGAGGAGCCUCGGCGCUUCGCGGGAAAGAUUCGCAAGGAUCACUGAAGGACGAGCCUGCGGCCCGUCAGCUAGUUGGUGAGGUAAGAGCUCACCAAGGCGAAGACGGGUAGCUGGUCUGAGAGGAUGAUCAGCCACACUGGAACUGAGACACGGUCCAGACUCCUACGGGAGGCAGCAGUGGGGAAUAUUGCGCAAUGGGCGAAAGCCUGACGCAGCCACGCCGCGUGAGCGAUGAAGGCCU